UACAGAGGUCUCAAGCGUUGUUCGGAUUCAUUGGGCGUAAAGGGCGCGUAGGCGGCGCGGUAAGUCGGGUGUGAAAUCUCGGAGCUUAACUCCGAAACUGCAUUCGAUACUGCCGUGCUUGAGGACUGGAGAGGAGACUGGAAUUUACGGUGUAGCGGUGAAAUGCGUAGAUAUCGUAAGGAAGACCAGUGGCGAAGGCGGGUCUCUGGACAGUUCCUGACGCUGAGACGCGAAGGCCAGGGGAGCAAACGGG
rnacentral:rRNA from 1 species